rnacentral:rRNA from 1 species
UACAGAGGUCUCGAGCGUUUGUUCGGAUUCAUUGGGCGUAAAGGGCGCGUAGGCGGCGGGGUAAGUCUGGUGUGAAAUCUCGGAGCUCAACUCCGAAAUUGCACUUGGAUAACUGCUCUGCUAGAGGGCUGGAGAGGAGAUCGGAAUUCACGGUGUAAGCAGUGAAAUGCGUAGAUAUCGUGAGGAAGACCAGUGGCGAAGGCGGAUCUCUGGACAGCUCCUGA